rnacentral:rRNA from 1 species
AGUGAACGCUGGCGGUAGGCCUAACACAUGCAAGUCGAACGGCAGCACAGUAAGAGCUUGCUCUUACGGGUGGCGAGUGGCGGACGGGUGAGGAAUACAUCGGAAUCUACUUUUUCGUGGGGGAUAACGUAGGGAAACUUACGCUAAUACCGCAUACGACCUACGGGUGAAAGCAGGGGAUCUUCGGACCUUGCGCGAUUGAAUGAGCCGAUGUCGGAUUAGCUAGUUGGCGGGGUAAAGGCCCACCAAGGCGACGAUCCGUAGCUGGUCUGAGAGGAUGAUCAGCCACGCUGGAACUGAGACACGGUCCAGACUCCUACGGGAGGCAGCAGUGGGGAAUAUUGGACAAUGGGCGCAAGCCUGAUCCAGCCAUACCGCGUGGGUGAAGAAGGCCUUCGGGUUGUAAAGCCCUCUUGUUGGGAAAGAAAAGCAGCAGGUUAAUACCCCGCUGUUCUGACGGUACCCAAAGAAUAAGCACCGGCUAACUUCGUG